AUUGAACGCUGGCGGCAUGCCUUACACAUGCAAGUCGAACGGUAACAGGUUAAGCUGACGAGUGGCGAACGGGUGAGUAAUGUAUCGGAACGUGCCCAGUCGUGGGGGAUAACUGCUCGAAAGAGCAGCUAAUACCGCAUACGACCUGAGGGUGAAAGCGGGGGGUCGCAAGACCUCGCGCGAUUGGAGCGGCCGAUAUCAGAUUAGGUAGUUGGUGAGGUAAAGGCUCACCAAGCCGACGAUCUGUAGCUGGUCUGAGAGGACGACCAGCCACACUGGGACUGAGACACGGCCCAGACUCCUACGGGAGGCAGCAGUGGGGAAUUUUGGACAAUGGGCGCAAGCCUGAUCCAGCCAUGCCGCGUGCGGGAAGAAGGCCUUCGGGUUGUAAACCGCUUUUGUCAGGGAAGAAAAGGUUCUGGCUAAUACCUGGGACUCAUGACGGUACCUGAAGAAUAAGCACCGGCUAACUACGUGCCAGCAGCCGCGGUAAGAC
rnacentral:rRNA from 1 species